GUAUGUGGUUUAAUUCGAUGCAACGCGAAGAACCUUACCUGGUCUUGACAUCCCGGAGACCCUUAGGAAACUAGGGGUGCUUCCAUCUGGAAGAAUCUGGAGACAGGUGCUGCAUGGCUGUCGUCAGCUCGUGUCGUGAGAUGUUGGGUUAAGUCCCGCAACGAGCGCAACCCUUGCCUUUAGUUGCCAGCAGUUCGGCUGGGCACUCUAAAGGGACUGCCGGUGUUAAACCGGAGGAAGGUGGGGAUGACGUCAAGUCCUCAUGGCCUUUAUGACCAGGGCUACACACGUACUACAAUGGCCGAUACAAAGGGCAGCGACACUGCGAGGUGAAGCCAAUCCCGUAAAAUCGGUCUCAGUCCGGAUUGGAGUCUGCAACUCGACUCCAUGAAGUUGGAAUCGCUAGUAAUCGUGGAUCAGCAUGCCACGGUGAAUACGUUCCCGGGCCUU
rnacentral:rRNA from 1 species